rnacentral:rRNA from 1 species
AACGAACCGUGCGAACGUUAUUCGGAAUCAUUGGGCUUAAAGGGCGCGUAGGCGGGCCGCCAAGUCCGCGGUGAAAUCCCCCGGCUCAACCGGGGAACUGCCGCGGAUACUGGAGGUCUCGAGGGGGGUAGGGGCAUGCGGAACUACGGGUGGAGCGGUGAAAUGCGUUGAUAUCCGUAGGAACUCCGGUGGCGAAGGCGGCGUGCUGGACCCCUUCUGACGCUGAGGCGCGAAAGCCAGGGGAGCGAACGGG